UGGGGAAUAUUGGACAAUGGGGGAAACCCUGAUCCAGCGACGCCGCGUGAGUGAAGAAGUAUUUCGGUAUGUAAAGCUCUAUCAGCAAGGAAGAAAAUGACGGUACUUGACUAAGAAGCCCCGGCUAACUACGUGCCAGCAGCCGCGGUAAUACGUAGGGGGCAAGCGUUAUCCGGAUUUACUGGGUGUAAAGGGAGCGUAGACGGCAAAGCAAGUCUGAAGUGAAAGCCCCGGGCUCAACCCGGGAACUGCUUUGGAAACUGUUUAGCUAGAGUGCAGGAGAGGUAAGUGGAAUUCCUAGUGUAGCGGUGAAAUGCGUAGAUAUCACGAAGAACUCCGAUCGCGAAGGCAGCCUGCGGGAGCGCAACUGACGCUGAGGCUCGAAAGUGCGGGUAUCGAACAGGAUUAGAUACCCUGGUAGU
rnacentral:rRNA from 1 species